rnacentral:rRNA from 1 species
CGCAUUCCACUUGAUAGUUUUGCCCCCAACAUUAGAGAUGAUGUUAGAUUUGCUUAUAUACGAAUGGGUGCAACUCAACCAACUAGUUGCACUUUCCCCCCAAAUAGAGAUGGAAGAUGCUUUCGGCCACAAUGGUAUAAGGACUUUGAUUGGUUGGAAUAUAGUGUAACAACACAUAAGGCUUAUUGCUUCUGUUGCUAUCUUUUUAAGCAUGACCGAAUAGAUGAUAAAUUUGGGCAUGAUGUCUUCUCCAAAUUGGGUUUUGACUGUUGGAAAAAUGCGGUCGCGGCAUUUCGUAAACAUGUUGGUGGGCCAUGUAGCAUCCACAAUAUAUCAAAAACAGCAUGUGAUGAUUUUAAAAAUCAAGGGGCAAGUGUGAAAAGUAAAGUUACAACUUACGGCCAAGGUUCACUUGUCAAAUAUGAAACUCGUAUGGAUACAUCUUUGGGCAUUGUAAGUUAUCUAGCAUUGCAAGGUGAACCAUUUCGUGGACAUGAUGAAUCCAGUUCUUCUUUGAACAAGGGGAAUUUUUUAGAGUUGCUUGAUUGGGUCAAAGAAAGAAUUCCAGAAGUGAAGGUUGCAUUUGAUGAGCUAUGUCCUCAAAAUGCCAAAAUGACUUCCGGGACAAUUCAAAAAGACCUUGUCAAACAUUGUGCAACUGCAGCCACCAAAGUAAUCAAAGAAGAGAUGGGUGACUGUCCUUUCACUGUUCUUAUUGAUGAGUGUCGUGAUAUAUCGGUGAAAGAACAAAUGGUCGUGGUUGUCAGGUAUUUGAGCAAAAAAGGAGAGACCGUUGAAAGAUUUUUAGCUAUUAAGCAUGUCCCAGACACAACAUCUGCCUCUUUGAAGAAGGCUUUGUUGGAGGUUUUUGCUAAACACGGUCUAGUUAUUGCAAGACUAUGAGGGCAAGGAUAUGAUGGGGCAUCUAAUAUGAGAGGAGAAUUCAAUGGACUUCAGAGGUUAAUUCGAGAUGAGAACCCAUAUGCUUUCUAUAUCCACUGCUUUGCCCACCAACUGAAGUUGGUAGUUGUUGCUAUUUCGAGAUGUUGCAAGGGUGUUGAGGAUUUUUUUGAAUAUGUGACCAUGAUUGCCAAUCUCAGUACUUCAUCUUGCAAGAGGAAGGAUAAAUUGCUUGACAAGCAAAAAGAAGAUCUUUUGGAUACGAUUGAGAGAGGUGAGAUGCCCACAGGAAGAGGGGAAAAUCAAGAAACAUCGUUGGUCAGACCUAGAGACACAAGAUGGGGAUCUCAUUACACAACCUUAUCUCGCAUUGAAUCAAUGUGGGAUGCAGUCAUAGAAGUUUUGGGUAUUGUUGAGGAUGAUGUGCGUGUUCCAUGUAGGGCAGGAGGUUUGGUUCAUCAAAUGGAGACCUUUAGCUUUGUGUUCAUCCUGAAGAUGAUGCUAAAAAUCCUUCGUAUCACAAAUGAUUUAUCUCUUCUAUUGCAAAAGAAGGAUCAAAAUGUUGUUCAGGCAAUGUCAUUGGUUACGGAUGUGAGAACACGUUUGGUCAACUGGAGAAAUGAUGGUUGGGAGCCACUCUUGGAAGAUGUCAAAGCGUUUUGCACCAAAAACGACAUUCCAAUACCAAGUAUGGAUGAGAUCUUUACAAAGUGGGGUAAAUCAAGAAAAGGUGGACGAAACAAUGUCACGGCUGAUCAUUUUUUUCGUGUGGACACCUUCUAUGCUGCUAUAGACUCCAUCACCACGGAGUUUGAUCAUCGUUUUAAUGAGGUAUCUUCAGAGCUGCUCCAGAACUUCUCUUGUCUUGACCCAAGAAACUCAUUUUCUAGGUUCAACCUGAAUAAGCUUGCCAGGCUCACAGAGAUUUAUCAUGAUGAUUUCUCUGACUAUGAACGUGAACAUAUAGAAGGUAACCUUGAUCUAUUCAUUAUCCAUAUGAGAAGAAUUGAAGACUUUAGAGCUUGUCAUGAUAUUGCAAGCCUAGCUAAAAUGACGGUUGAACUUGAAAGGCACGUCAUGUUUCCUACUGUUUAUCGCCUCGUUGAAUUGGCAUUGCUACUACCGGUAGCGACGGCAACUGUUGAAAGGGCCUUCUCAUCAAUGAAAAUCAUCAAGACUGAGUUGCGCAGCAAGAUGACCGAUGGUUGGCUUAAUGACUUGAUGGUUUGUUACAUUGAGCGAGAGAUCUUCAAAAGUAUCGAUCUUGGUAAAAUUAAGCAAGAUUUUCAGAAUGAGGGUAGGGCAUUGCCAUUGCCCGGGUCUUCUAGACACCAUUGA